GGUUCAGUGGGGCUGGGAGGGAGGGAGCUGGCGCCGGGGGGAGCAGGGGCGGGAGCCGCAGGGAGCUGGGGGCAGGUAGGAGAGGGGGCGAGGCAGCCGGGAGGCAGCAAGGCCUGCGCCCAGCCCCGGUGGCGGCGGCACCGUGCCCUGCCCAAGGUGUUCCCGCGAGCAGCUGGGCCCUCGAUGCAGGCUGAGAACCCACCCCCCCCGGGGGCCCUCAUUGCUGCCCCGGC